ACAAAUGGUCAAAUUUAGAUAAUUUUUUUAGCUUCUUACUUGUAGUACUGAAGUAAGAACAAUUGUUAGCAAUAUCUAACAUUACGAUAUCUAGUCUACCUGGCUGACAACUGGAAAAAUAAGAAGCAUGUAUAAUUCUAACAAGAUUUUUGAUUUUAGAUAACGUAAUGGUAUCAUAUUAGUCAAUGUCAUCUGUUUCAUGCAUUGUAAAUAGGUAUCACUGUCAGAAAACCCAAUUAGCUCUAUAGAUUCAGGAGCACUGAUCUUGUUUAUAUUCUACAGGUUUGUCCCUUGUUUAUAUUCUACAGGUUUGUCCUUGUUUAUAUUCUACAGGUUUGUCCCUUGUUUAUAUUCUACAGGUUUGUCCCUUGUUUAUAUUCUACAGGUUUGUCCCUUGUUUAUAUUCUACAGGUUUGUCCCUUGUUUAUAUUCUACAGGGUUGUCCCUUGUUUAUAUUCUACAGGUUUGUCCCUUGUUUAUAUUCUACAGGUUUGUCCCUUGUUUAUAUUCUACAGGUUUGUCCCUUGUUUAUAUUCUACAGGUUUGUCCCUUGUUUAUAUUCUACAGGUUUGUCCUUGUUUAUAUUCUACAGGUUUGUCCCUUGUUUAUAUUCUACAGGUUUGUCCCUUGUUUAUAUUCUACAGGUUUGUCCCAGUACAGCAGUUUUCAUACUUAUAACUCUUCUAUUUCUGCACUUAAAAAAAACCUAAUAUCAAUAUCAUAAACUAGUUUAAUUUGACAGCAGUAAUUAUGGUAAUGAAAUGAAC